CAGCGCGGGAGGGACUGACCACAGCACCUGCUCCCUGUCCCCCUGCACUGCUCUGGCAGAGGAGGUAGAGGAAACUGAGAAUGAAGUUAAGCUUGGGAAGAAGGGAAGGACUGAAGAAGCUGGCCAUGCUUGGAAUCUGUAAUGCAGUUGGAGACACAGCCUGACAGACUCGGAGAACUAUUCAACCAAAGGCUGUCAUCACCUGAAUCCCUUCACUGUUUCUGAAUGCGUUGUUGAAACUACUGAACAAGUCAUUGUUGGUCUGUUACUAUAUCCAGAAACUCAGCUUCAUGCACUGUCCUGCCAGACUACUGUUUUUACCGCUUUGUCCCUUGAAAGAUUAGAAGUAUGCUUUCAUGUUUGCUGGCUACUAUCCUCUCUGAUGCAGAUUUACCAUUACAAAAGGCCUCUCUGUCCCCCACUCCAUUUGUCUUAGUUUGGGCAGCCUUUUAGAUCCCUAGAAGUCAGGACUUAGACUGUUAACAUCAAAGGGACUUGUCAUUCUUAGAAAAAAGAGCCUAGAUUCCUUCCUUUGCCACUUCCCAGAUGAUGCCCCUUGCUCAUAUAUGCCUGAGUCUCUGUUUCUG